rnacentral:rRNA from 1 species
GAUAAACGCUGGCGGCGUGCCUAACACAUGCAAGUCGAACGCCCUGGAGCAAUUCAGGGAGUGGCGGACGGGUGAGGAACACGUGGGUGAUCUGCCUUGAGGUGAGGAAUACCGGCGAGAAAUCGCCGACAAUACCGCAUAGGUUCGUAAGAACAAAGUCGCAAGACGCCUUGAGAUGAGCCUGCGUCCGAUUAGCCAGUUGGUGGGGUAAUGGCCUACCAAAGCAGCGAUCGGUAGCUGGUCUGAGAGGACGAUCAGCCACACUGGGAUUGAGAACGGCCCAGACUCCGUACGGGGGCGA